rnacentral:rRNA from 1 species
AGUGAACGCUGGCGGCAGGCCUAACACAUGCAAGUCGAACGGCAGCACAGUAAGAGCUUGCUCUUACGGGUGGCGAGUGGCGGACGGGUGACGUAUACAUCGGAACCUACUUUUUCGUGGGGGAUAACGUAGCGAAACUUACGCCAAUACCGCAUACGACCUACGGGUGAAAGCAGGGGAUCUUCGGACCUUGCGCGAUUGAAUGAGCCGAUGUCGGAUUAGCUAGUUGGCGGGGUAAAGGCCCACCAAGGCGACGAUCCGUAGCUGGUCUGAGAGGAUGAUCAGCCACACUGGAACUGAGACACGGUCCAGACUCCUACGGGAGGCAGCAGUGGGGAAUAUUGGACAAUGGGCGCAAGCCUGAUCCAGCCAUACCGCGUGUGUGAAGAAGGCCUUCGGGUUGUAAAGCCCUUUUGUUGGGAAAGAAAAGCAGCAGGUUAAUACGCCGCUGUUCUGACGGUACCGGAAGAAUAAGCACCGGCUAACUUCGUG